AGAUUUCGGGUUUUAAGCAGGUCUCUGAGACUGAGUUGCUAUUCAAGGUUUGUGGGUCAACUCAGGCUACUGGGACUGGGUUUGAGGGGAUGAGGACUGCUGCCUUUGAUUCUAUGGUGAAUGGUUUAAAAAAUGGUUUUUACACUGGGAAUAACCAGACGGUCUUUGUUUUGGGCCAAUGUGAAGGUGAUUUGUCAAGUGAUGAUUGUGGAAAUUGUGUGAAAAGUGCUGUAGAGAGUGUGAAAACUCAGUGUGGUGAUUCAGUUUCUGG
rnacentral:misc_RNA from 1 species